CCUUGAGCUCACUUUGUAGCCCAGGGUGGUCUCAAACUCACAGUGAUCCUCUUGCCUCAGCCUCCCAAGUGCUGGGAU
rnacentral:miRNA from 1 species